rnacentral:rRNA from 1 species
ACUGAGUGGCGGACGGGUGAGUAACGCGUGGGCAACCUGCCCCAUACAGGGGGAUAACAGCCGAAAACGGCUGCUAAUACCGCAUAAACCAGGGAGGCGCAUGCCUCUUUGGGGAAAGCUCCGGCGGUAUGGGAGGGGCCCGCGUCUGAUUAGCUUGUUGGCGGGGCAGCGGCCCACCAAGGCGACGAUCAGUAGCCGGCCUGGGAGGGCGGACGGCCACAUUGGGACUGAGACACGGCCCAAACUCCUACGGAAGGCAGCAG